UAAGGUGCGCAUUGAAUUUUUAUAAUCAUUGUUUGGGUAGGUUUUACCUACUGAUUGUUUUAACGUGUUUUCACGAGGAGUGAUAGUAAUCAUGAUAAAAAAAAGAAAUUAUCUGGUUACCAGAAUCUAAUAAGGAAAAGAAAACAAGAAGAAGAACGUAAUAAAAAUGCAACUAAAAUAAGUAAAUAUUUUACGGCUCAACCAUCCACUUCGACACAAUCAUUAGAGACAGAAACCAGUUAGGUAUGUUAUCGAUGAAAGUGUUAUUAAAUCUGAUUCAAAAAACACUUCAUGUAGUGAUGAUGCCGCCGAAGUUACGUCUGUGCCUGUGCCUGAUACACCAUCGUCACCGUUAAGACAAUUAUCAUCACCAAUACCAACUUUUUCCAAAGAUGAUCCUGGAGCCUGGCCAGAAGUUUAAACGCUACUUUGAUCAGCUUCUUUGUUAUUCAUAUUUAAGUAUUAAAUUUUUUGUAUUAAUAAAGCAUGUUAAAAUUU